rnacentral:rRNA from 1 species
GGACUGGUGAGUAACGCGGUAAGCAAUCUGCCUAUUAGAGGGGAAUAACAGUGAGAAAUCACUGCUAAUACCGCAUAUGCCAUGAACAUCGCAUGAUGAAAAUGGGAAAGGAGUAAUCCGCUAAUAGAUGAGCUUGCGUCUGAUUAACUAGUUGGUGUGGUAAUGGCAUACCAAGGUAACGAUCAGUAGCCGGACUGGGAGGUUGAACGGCCACAUUGGGACUGAGAUACGGCCCAGACUCCUACGGGAGGCAGCAGUCGGGAAUAUUGCGCAAUGGAGGAAACUCUGACGCAGUGACGCCGCGUAUAGGAUGAAGGUUUUCGGAUUGUAAACUAUUGUCAUUAGGGAAGAUAAAAGACAGUACCUAAGGAGGAAGCUCCGGCUAACUACGUGCCAGCAGCCGCGGUAAUACGUAGGGAGCAAGCGUUAUCCGGAUUUAUUGGGUGUAAAGGGUGCGUAGACGGGAGAUUAAGUUAGUUGUGAAAGCCCUUGGCUUAACUGAGGAAUUGCAACUAAAACUGG